AAUCCCUUUUAACCAUAUUCAGAGGGAAAAAAAGAUGCUGUGCUCAUUAUAGAACUAUUGGAUUGAAAUGUUACCCUUGCGUAGGAUCGUUCGGAAUAGAAUGCAUGCAAAAAUGCCCAAAUGGGUUUUAUGGUGUUCAGUGCGCAGAAUUGUGUUCUUGUACAAAAUGUAACAAAACAACUGGUGUUUGCCUCAACGAAACGAUAAUUUCAACAGAAGAACCAGAUAAAACCAAUCAAUCCCAAUUAAAAUCAAUCAUAAUUGGAGUAGGCACAGUUUUGGG